UACGGAGGGAGCUAGCGUUGUUCGGAAAUACUGGGCGUAAAGCGCACGUAGGCGGCGCAGCAAGUCAGGGGUGAAAUCCCGGGGCUCAACCCCGGAACUGCCCUUGAAACUGCAGUGCUAGAAUCUUGGAGAGGCGAGUGGAAUUCCGGGUGUAGAGGUGAAAUUCGUAGAUAUUCGGAAGAACACCAGUGGCGAAGGCGACUCGCUGGACAGUUCCUGACGCUGAGGCACGAAGGCCAGGGGAGCAAACGGG
rnacentral:rRNA from 1 species